ACAUGCGAUCAUACCAGCACUAAUGCACCGGAUCCCAUCAGAACUCCGCAGUUAAGGGUGCUUGGGCGAGAGUAGUACUAGGAUGGGUGACCUCCCAGAAAGUCCUCGUGUUGCAUCCC
rnacentral:rRNA from 1 species